UACGAAGGGGGCUAGCGUUGCUCGGAAUCACUGGGCGUAAAGCGCACGUAGGCGGAUUGCUAAGUCAGGGGUGAAAUCCUGGAGCUCAACUCCAGAACUGCCUUUGAUACUGGCGAUCUUGAGUCCGGGAGAGGUGAGUGGAACUGCGAGUGUAGAGGUGAAAUUCGUAGAUAUUCGCAAGAACACCAGUGGCGAAGGCGGCUCACUGGCCCGGUACUGACGCUGAGGAGCGAAAGCAUGGGGAGCGAACAGG
rnacentral:rRNA from 1 species